rnacentral:rRNA from 1 species
AAUUGUUCGCAAUGGGCGCAAGCCUGACGACGCAACGCCGCGUGGAGGAUGAAGAUCUUCGGGUCGUAAACUCCUGUCGAGCGGGACGAAUGCUUUGCGGCUGAAUAAUCCGCAGAGGUUACGGUACCGCUAAAGGGAGCCCCGGCUAACCCCGUGCCCGCAGCCGCGGUAAUACGUAGGGAGCAAGCGUUGUCCGGAUUUAUUGGGCGUAAAGAGCUCGUAGGCGGUUCGGUAAGUCGGGUGUGAAAACUCUAGGCUCAACCUGGAGAGGCCACCCGAUACUGCUGUGACUUGAGUCUGGUAGGGGAGCACGGAAUUCCUGGUGUAGCGGUGAAAUGCACAGAUAUCAGGAGGAACACCGGUGGCGAAGGCGGUGCUCUGGGCCAGUACUGACGCUGAGGAGCGAAAGCGUGGGUAGCGAAC